rnacentral:rRNA from 1 species
AUUGAACGCUGGCGGCAGGCCUAACACAUGCAAGUCGAGCGGGGUUUUCGGACCUAGCGGCGGACGGGUGAGUAAUGCGUAGGAAGCUGCCCGAUAGAGGGGGAUACCAGUUGGAAACGACUGUUAAUACCGCAUAAUGUCUACGGACCAAAGUGUGGGACCUUCGGGCCACAUGCUAUCGGAUGCGCCUACGUGGGAUUAGCUAGUUGGUGAGGUAAUGGCUCACCAAGGCGACGAUCUCUAGCUGGUUUGAGAGGAUGAUCAGCCACACUGAAACUGGGACACGGUCCAGACUCCUACGGGAGGCAGCAGUGGGGAAUAUUGGACAAUGGGCGCAAGCCUGAUCCAGCCAUGCCGCGUGUGUGAAGAAGGCCUUCGGGUUGUAAAGCACUUUCAGCGAGGAGGAAGGGUGGUGUGUUAAUAGCACAUCAUUUUGACGUUACUCGCAGAAGGAGCACCGGCUAACUCUGUGCCAGCCGCCGCGGUAAUAC